GCUUUCAUAGCUCAGCAGGCAGAGCGAGCGGCUGUUAACCGCUAGGUCAUAGGUUCGAACCCUAUUGAAAGCG
rnacentral:tRNA from 1 species